UACGUAGGGUGCGAGCGUUGUCCGGAUUUAUUGGGCGUAAAGAGCGUGUAGGCGGCCAUGUAGGUCCGUUGUGAAAACUCGAGGCUCAACCUCGAGACGCCGAUGGAAACCAUGUGGCUAGAGUCCGGAAGAGGAGAGUGGAAUUCCUGGUGUAGCGGUGAAAUGCGCAGAUAUCAGGAAGAACACCCGUGGCUAAGGCGGCUCUCUAGUACGGUACUGACGCUGAGACGCGAAAGCGUGGGGAGCGA
rnacentral:rRNA from 1 species